UACGUAGGGCGCAAGCGUUGUCCGGAUUUAUUGGGUUUAAAGGGUGCGUAGGCGGCCCGUUAAGUCCGGGGUGAAAGCCCACAGCUCAACUGUUGAACUGCCAUGGAUACUGACGGGCUUGAGUACAGACGAGGUAGGCGGAAUGGAUGGUGUAGCGGUGAAAUGCAUAGAUACCAUCCAGAACACCGAUUGCGUAGGCAGCUUACUAGGCUGUAACUGACGCUGAGGCACGAAAGCGUGGGGAGCGAACAGG
rnacentral:rRNA from 1 species